rnacentral:rRNA from 1 species
AGUGAACGCUGGCGGUAGGCCUAACACAUGCAAGUCGAACGGCAGCACAGGAGAGCUUGCUCUCUAGGUGGCGAGUGGCGGACGGGUGAGGAAUACAUCGGAAUCUGCCCAGUCGUGGGGGAUAACGUAGGGAAACUUACGCUAAUACCGCAUACGACCUUCGGGUGAAAGAGGGGGAUCGCAAGACCUCUCGCGAUUGGAUGAGCCGAUGUCGGAUUAGCUAGUUAGCGGGGUAAUGGCCCACCAAGGCGACGAUCCGUAGCUGGUCUGAGAGGAUGAGCAGCCACAUUGGAACUGAGACACGGUCCAGACUCCUACGGGAGGCAGCAGUGGGGAAUAUUGGACAAUGGGCGCAAGCCUGAUCCAGCCACACCGCGUGGGUGAAGAAGGCCUUCGGGUUGUAAAGCCCUUUUGUUGGGAAAGAAAUCUUUCAGGCUAAUACCCUGGGAGGAUGACGGUACCCAAAGAAUAAGCACCGGCUAACUUCGUG